GAGUAACACGUGGAUAACCUACCUAUAAGACUGGGAUAACUUCGGGAAACCGGAGCUAAUACCGGAUAAUAUUUUGAACCGCAUGGUUCAAAAGUAAAAGACGGUCUUGCUGUCACUUAUAGAUGGAUCCGCGCUGCAUUAGCUAGUUGGUAAGGUAACAGCUUACCAAGGCAACGAUGCAUAGCCGACCUGAGAGGGUGAUCGGCCACACUGGAACUGAGACACGGUCCAGACUCCUACGGGAGGCAGCAGUAGGGAAUCUUCCGCAAUGGGCGAAAGCCUGACGGAGCAACGCCGCGUGAGUGAUGAAGGUCUUCGGAUCGUAAAACUCUGUUAUUAGGGAAGAACAUAUGUGUAAGUAACUGUGCACAUCUUGACGGUACCUAAUCAGAAAGCCACGGCUAACUACGUGCCAGCAGCCGCGGUAAUACGUAGGUGGCAAGCGUUAUCCGGAAUUAUUGGGCGUAAAGCGCGCGUAGGCGGUUUUUUAAGUCUGAUGUGAAAGCCCACGGCUCAACCGUGGAGGGUCAUUGGAAACUGGAAAACUUGAGUGCAGAAGAGGAAAGUGGAAUUCCAUGUGUAGCGGUGAAAUGCGCAGAGAUAUGGAGGAACACCAGUGGCGAAGGCGACUUUCUGGUCUGUAACUGACGCUGAUGUGCGAAAGCGUGGGGAUCAAACAGGAUUAGAUACCCUGGUAGUCCACGCCGUAAACGAUGAGUGCUAAGUGUUAGGGGGUUUCCGCCCCUUAGUGCUGCAGCUAACGCAUUAAGCACUCCGCCUGGGGAGUACGACCGCAAGGUUGAAACUCAAAGGAAUUGACGGGGACCCGCACAAGCGGUGGAGCAUGUGGUUUAAUUCGAAGCAACGCGAAGAACCUUACCAAAUCUUGACAUCCUUUGACAACUCUAGAGAUAGAGCCUUCCCCUUCGGGGGACAAAGUGACAGGUGGUGCAUGGUUGUCGUCAGCUCGUGUCGUGAGAUGUUGGGUUAAGUCCCGCAACGAGCGCAACCCUUAAGCUUAGUUGCCAUCAUUAAGUUGGGCACUCUAAGUUGACUGCCGGUGACAAACCGGAGGAAGGUGGGGAUGACGUCAAAUCAUCAUGCCCCUUAUGAUUUGGGCUACACACGUGCUACAAUGGACAAUACAAAGGGCAGCGAAACCGCGAGGUCAAGCAAAUCCCAUAAAGUUGUUCUCAGUUCGGAUUGUAGUCUGCAACUCGACUACAUGAAGCUGGAAUCGCUAGUAAUCGUAGAUCAGCAUGCUACGGUGAAUACGUUCCCGGGUCUUGUACACACCGCCCGUCACACCACGAGAGUUUGUAACACCCGAAGCCGGUGGAGUAACCUUUUAGGAGCUAGCCGUCGAAGGUGGGACAAAUGAUUGGGGUGAAGUCGUAACAAGGUAGCCGUAUCGGAAGGUGCGGCUGGAUCACCU
rnacentral:rRNA from 1 species